rnacentral:lncRNA from 1 species
CGGCUGGGGAGGGAGGAGAGAGGACCGGCGGAACUCUAACCAGCAGCUCCGCCGGGUCCUCUCGCGGGAUUCUGAGCGUUGCCGCGGUUACCACGGCAACGCUCAGAUCUCGCGAGAGUGAACUCUAGCCUGCAGGUUAGAGUUCACUCUCACCACUGGACCACCAGGGAAUGCAGCAUGGCUCUCCCAUGGCAGAACGGCUCCCCCCCGUCCCAGGCAA